rnacentral:rRNA from 1 species
GCCAGCCCGCUCAGUCAGAGUUUGAUCCUGGCUCAGGACGAACGCUGGCGGCGUGCUUAACACAUGCAAGUCGAACGGAAAGGCCCUGCUUUUGUGGGGUGCUCGAGUGGCGAACGGGUGAGUAACACGUGAGUAACCUGCCCUUGACUUUGGGAUAACUUCAGGAAACUGGGGCUAAUACCGGAUAGGAGCUCCUGCUGCAUGGUGGGGGUUGGAAAGUUUCGGCGGUUGGGGAUGGACUCGCGGCUUAUCAGCUUGUUGGUGGGUAGUGCUUACCAAGGCUUUGACGGGUAGCCGGCCUGAGAGGGUGACCGGCCACAUUGGGACUGAGAUACGGCCCAG